UGGCCCGUCCAGCAGGAGUUAGCCACAGGGAGGGCCGCGGGCCCGGGCUGAGUUGUGGGGGAGGAGGUGGCAGUUUAGGGCCUCAGGGGACAGAUGGGGGCGGUGACAGAGUCAGAAGAUACUGGCGGGCUGGGGGUGGGAGUGUGCCUGCUGGAGGCAGGUUAGAGGGGAGACUAGACCUUAGGGAAGUCUUGCAGGGCAGAGCUGCCUCGAAAGGGCCCGCAGGAACCCAGGGAGAGGAGCAGACUCCAGGCCUGGCUGUCGCUGCUGCCCGCUGGAGAAGGGGAACUUGACCCCUGGGAGGGGGCCGCUUCUGCGUAGGCUGGGCGGCCCCCUGUGCCCUGCUUUGUCUGAAGGAGGGAGGCAGAGACUGGAGGAGGCUGAGGGUCUCGCCACCCUUGCUGGAGGCGAUAUCUGGCCGUCGAUGCCCUGAACAUGAGCAAGAAGGCAGGCCGUGGGGUGCGGGGUCGCAGUUAGGCUGGGAAGGCAGCACUUGAACUUGUCAAUACCAGCCGCCCCCUUUUUUUCCAGACAAAGGGGUGUGAGCCCGCCUGGGGAUGAGGCCUGGUGUGGUGGCAACUGACCUUAGCUUCGCGGGGCUGACAGCUCCGGCCCAGGGCGGUGGCAGUGCUCCCUUUUGGACUUUUCCUGUAGGUUCCGUGCUAACCUCUUCUGUGAGCUCACUCUGCCCCUCCUCCUCCUCCUCCUCCCUUUAACUCCCUCGAGGUUCCCCAUUGGCUUAAGCGUUGCUUCUGGUAAUCUGGUAAGCCCGGGAAGUUGCUCCAGUCCCUGUUGGAGUCGGUACUGCUGGUAAUCCUGAAGGAGGAGAGGCCUCCCCUGUUGAGACUCUGGGUGGGUGGGUGGCUUGCAGGUGGAGGGGGUGGGGCGUGGAUGUGCACCCCCCGGGUGGGCCCGCGGCCAUGGUACCAGCUGAAAGCUACGCAAAUGCCCUCAUAGAUGGUGGUUUGUUGCUGUAGUGUUCAUCAUGGCGAGCUGAUGGCACCAGGAGGAUGGAGCCCCUGGCCAGUGUGAGUCCUAGCAGUGCAGGAGGGGAGACCCUGGAGGAGAGAGCCCGCCUAAAUUGAUGUCUGCAGAUUGAAUUUCCAGAGGCUUAGGAGGAGGAAGUUCUCCAAUGUCCCGUGUCCAGGCCUUGGCUCAGGAAGCCCUGUAUUCAGGAGGCCACCCUUUAAGGGUGUCAUUGAGCUUGUGAGAGGGUGAUGGUUCCAAGUCCCAAGCAGAUGCAUCCGGGGUCGUCAGCAGAUGUGUUGAGUGUUUGAUCCGGAGCACCAACCUCUGGGCACGUUGAAUGCCAGCAGGCACCUCUCCUGUUCGGGGGUGGAGGUUUUCCGAUGGCUGCGUCUUCUAAUGCUUCCUGUCAUGCUAGUUCUGUGCUACGAACCUUGCCUCCAGAAGACUCUUAAGAUGUAGAACAUUUUAACGCUGAUGCCUCAACGCAGAGUGAUGCCUGGUAGAUGGAGCUUGCAGAUGGAGCCCAGGGACCCUGUCAUCUACUCACCUGCCUGCCCCAGCCUCGGUCGGAGGAAUUCUUAGUGUGAUGAUGUAACCUGUGUGUCCAGAAAGUGUUUACUGUUGAAACGCCUUAGGCCAAUACUCACAGGAAGCCACCUGGCAAACUGAGGGGGUCAUUGUGUUGUGCUGUGGUCUGGGAGGGUACAAGGUGGUGCUGCCUAAGUGGGGAUGGAAAUGCAGGUCUGGUUUGGGCAUCCCUACUACAAGAAGGGUGUGGUCAGGGUACUGAUAGUGAUCUCUGCUCCAUCUUGGCCUAUAUACUUUUUAACUUGAAUUUUAUUUGAUUAGAUUUCAAAGUAAUUUUAGUCUUCAAAUGAGGGGACCCGGAGGUGAGGGAUUGGGAGGGAGGGGAUGAUUUGGCCCUGGCGCUGGGGACGGGGAGGGGGGGAAAGAAAGGGAGAGGGUUGCGAUUAGAUGUGGGUUCUGUAGGGUGGGAGUGGUUGGGAGUGUGGGUCGGAGGGAAUUUUCUGGAGAAAAUAUCAAUAGGCAGAGCUCUGGGGAGUUACGUAGAGCUCGUGGGAGAAGAAAAUGUUAGUUAAUAGUAAAUUGUUAACACUAGUUGUUGCUUGGAAGCGCAAAAGUUGCUUGCAAAUUUUCUAAAAUGCUUAGAACUCUUAAUUGCAGGAAGGAAAGCAAAAUUGUUUUGCUUUGCAAGAUGGGGAGGACUGGGAAAGGUAACAGCCUGGUUAUCAGUCACUUGAAAGACUGGUGUCAGGAACUUGCAUCAGCAGAUUAACAUCUUUCACCGCUUUGCAAACUUCAAAGUGGUUUAUCUGAAUGUGUGCAGAAUCCCGAGCAGUCUUAAGACUCUAAAUACCCAAAUUGGGGGCUUUUGAAGUAUUAUGUUUCAGAUUUUGGUGUGCACUUAAAAGAUGGUCAGAUGGACUUUUCUGGGUUUGUAACAUCUUAGCUGAGGUUUUGCAAUUGAAAACUUGAGCAGAGUGAAAAUGGUUUCUAGAGGAAUUCCGCAUGUCAUCUCCUGCCUUAUUAAACACAUCUCUUGUCUUUGUGAUUGGUACUAGUACCAGCAGAAGUUUUUCCUGUUAACCUUUUUGUCCUUGUUGUGACAAGAAGAACGUAGUAACCUUGUGACCGCUGUCGUCACUGUAUGUUUGGUAGCAAAUAGUCCAUGUAUCCUUGAUAAGGUUUCAGUUCAUAAUCCGCUGUAUCUUUAGUUUGAAUGUUUGUGCUUUUUAAGUGACCCAGUACUUCAUGUGGGAAACUAUUAAACCAAAAUCAGUUUUGGAAAUGAGAACAAAACUAGGGCUGGGCAAGUGCUUUAGAUACGGUCUGUAAAAAUCCAGGGGAAGAUCUGAACUCUUAUGAUACUUGUUUCUGAGAUGCACCUAUUUAAUUGGUAAAGUAACAGCUGUGGCUUUUUAUCAUCUCCCUUUUCCCCUUAAAUUUACUUUGAAAAUUUUAAAUCCCCACUACUUAUUACCCUUGGGAGUUACGUCUUCUGGGUUCUUUGGUGAUGUUUAAAAAUAUGUUGACAUGUAGUUCAAUUCUUAACCUGUGACUUGGGCAUGAUGCGGUGACUCAUUGGAAUUUGAAGAGCACCAGUCACGCGUGUCGGGAAAUAUGUUGCGUUAUGCUGUUGUGAAAUCGAAACUGUAAAAGUAGGUGGUGAAAAUCACGUCUCUGUUGCUCUGUGUGGUGAGAACCAGUCCUGUUGCAUCAUGUAUGAUGACUAAUCAUUUUUCUUCCCCUUCACAGCACAAAUAAAGGUUUGAGUUCUAAACUCAUUGGCAUUGUAUCCCUAUGUUAUAUUUUUCCACCUUGAUCUUGUCUGUGUAUCAAGUUGCCUUCAUCGUGAAUUGAACGUAUCUUCAUAUUAAUAUAGCUUUAGGCCUGGAUUCACUUUUUAGUAGCUCCAGGUUGAGGUCAUUCAAUGGAGUGUGGGAACCUCCAGCAGAGCUGGUGUGUUCUGAAAGGUCUGUAAACGGGCGGGUGGGGAGGGAGCUCUGCUCACUGCGGGUGUGUGAAGAUUCUGCAGGAUGUGACGUCACCCCGCCAAGCCAAUGAGGGGCCUGUCAGGGUGGGGGGCACUUUCUAGUGGCCUGGAGUUCCACCGGGUCAUAUUUCCAGGUGGUAUCGUCCGAAGGAGGACCUCUAUUCCUGUUGGCUUCAAGGAGUAGGAAGGACAAUAUAAUACUUAUAUUUGUCUUUGGGGAGCCUACCAUGUACCUGGGGUUUGGGUUUAAGCACAUAAUUCUCAUUUUACUGAAGGAUUGGGCUUAAGUUUUUUUGGGUGAGUGAUGCAGGGGUUGGGUUCAGUUGUGUAACUGUUGUGCUAAGCUGGCCAAGAGGGUGUGAGUAGAAGCACUUGGACCAGAUUGAUCCUGCGUCCUGGGAGCUCUUCUGCUGCAGUUCUUUAGGGCUGUAAGGUGACCAACUUAGGGCUCAGAAGAAAACCCACUGGCAGCCUCUGCUGAGAAGGCUUGUUUCCAAGGGCGUGGGAAGGGGAAGAAAGACCUGACAUGAGCCAGGCGUGACCACCCCAAGGAGGUGGGAGAGCGCUGUCGGCCUCACUCCCUCCUGUUUGUCGGCCUCCUCGGUCCUCGUGAGCCCUCAUGUGUUUGCUGCUGAGAAAUGACUUGGGUGCCCACCAGCAAGCUGCCUGUCAGGGUGCGUGGCUCUGCUGGGAGUGGGUGCCGCUGGCCAGGUCCCGGGAGCCCCUCCGUGCUCGCAGGCCCGUCCCUUGAUCCCCAGCACAGUUGAAGGCUUCCUUUCCUGCGUCCUUUACCUUUUUGCCUUUUGCCCAGCCUUCCACCUGCCUGGCCCUCUUUUCAGAGCUUGUUUCUCCCCUGGUCCUGAUACAGUGAUUCCUAAACUCUUGCUUCCAACCUUGACGGACACUGCUACAAACAUCUGUGUGCCGUCUCCUAGGGACUGCGUGUGUUCAGUGAGAAAAGAAUUUCCCAGCAGGGGUGUAAAUGUUUGUCAUUGGAAGGGCUUAUAACACGGGGCUGCUAACAGGACCAGGGCAGGUAGUUGAGAGCUGCAUGUGCGCCCUCCAGGCCUCUGCCCGGUCUUCACCCCCACUUAUCCUCAGGUAGCAGGUGUUGGCUGUGUGGGCCCUUGCUAAGCAGCGUGCUUGCUCACGCGUCGAUCUGAAUCCAGCCUUUCCUCUCAACUCCCAGAGGCGGCGGAUGGUGCGGUGAAAUUCAGUGAGGGGGGGUUGUAGCCAUGGGUAGAAACUGCAGAAAUGGCCUGUGUUACAGAAGGGAUUGGACGGUAACGGCCCCACCACACACACCCUAUUGACUGCUCCUGGUUUGUCUGACUGACCAUGGCCGGGGCCUCCUAGGACCUCUUCUCUCUCUACAGAUCAAGUUUCUGGAGGACAUGUUAACCUCUCGCCUUGAGCAGUGCUUGUUUUUGUGCUGUGCUGAUAUUAAAUGAAAGGCCAAAUGAGGCUUCAGAUGUGUGUGGUAUGUGUUAUGUGUUCAUAUUUAACACAAAAAUAGAGUGAUGCAGUCUGGAAGUGGCAAGAGGAAGAUACCAAAAUAACCCCAAAUCAGGAAGAUGUGAAGCUGUGUGUCUCAGGGAGUGUGGCCUUGACCACCUGGUUGGCCAGGUAGGACACUGCUGGAAGCCCUCCGAGCCCCGCAGCUCUGUACCGCCGAAGCUCUUUUCUUUUAAAUAACUCUCAGUUAAGUUCUCUUGUUGUGAAGGAAGUUUAUUGUGAGGUUUACGAAUAAGAAAACUUAUAAGCAAAAUCCUCAGUAAUCUUCCAUUGACAAUUGUUUUGGCAUAUUUGCUUCUAGAGUUUUCUUCCUAUGCAUAGGUUAUAUGCCUUUUUAAACAAAAAAGGAAUUCUGCUGUAAAUUGUUUUGCAAUUCCUCUUAAUGUACAAUGAGUAUCUUGUUGCUGGAAACAUCUCUUGUGGUGUCGUAAUAUUCCAUUGUAUCCAUUUAAACAAUCUUGUUUAGAUGACAGACAAGUCAUUUUCCAGUUUUUUUUUUUGCCCCCUUAGGAAGUAAGGCUUUCUGACUGUUCCUGUAGCUCAAACUGUAUCACACCGGGUGAUCUUUCUUUGGGCGACAUGAAUGCAUUUCUGCAUGUGAGUUGCCUUGUCCACCUUCUUAAGACUUUAGUUCAUAUUGUUAAACUGUCCUCCUGGGAGGGGUUUUCUCAGGGAGCUUCUCACUGUUGGGGUGAACCCAGCGCUGUCUCCCCGUUCCUCAGCCUGGGUAGCGCGCUAAGAACCUUUGCUCCCUGGGUGGGUCCAGGCGUUACCCGUGGGUGUGGGCACAGCUGUGACCUGAACAUCUGCAGUGUUGUUUGUGCACCUGUGUGCCUUUCCACUUCUUAAUGGCUCAUUUUUCUAUUAAUCUGUGAAAGCAUAUGUAUUAACAGUGCAUUAUGGUUGAUGCAGGUAUUUUUUGCAGUUUACAGAUUGCCUUUUCAUUGGUGUAUUGUGUUUCAAACAUAACAAAAGUUACUUUUUUCUGAAGUUGUUCUUUAUGCUUUCUGUGCUCGUGCUAUGCUUAGAUCACUCACCCCCGAAGUGUGUUAAUCUUACUCUGUAUUAUUUUGUGACACUUGUACGGUCCAGUUUGUUAACAUUUAAACACACAAUCCACCUGGAGUUUGUAGUGCAGCCUGUGUGUGUGGCUGGGGAGGCCUGAUGCCCCCUCAGAACCCCUGAGCCUGCUUUCUCCAGGCACCCACCUCAUCUUAACGUUUGAGACCAUCAGGCAGCCCUGGUCGAGGGCGGGUGGCCAAGAGCAGGGGCAGACGGACAGAUCUGGUUCCACUCCUGCCUGGGGAGCUUUACGACUGGGAGCAAAUGACUGAGCCUGGCCACGCCCGGGAAGUGGGGGUGAAGGUCGUGUAUCUGGUGCACAGCGACUGCUCACUCAGUGUCGCAGCGAUGCUUCCUCUCCCUCACUGGCCAGCCUCAGACCCAGCCGCUUCCUCCCGGGUCCCUCUCCCCAGCCUCUAGUGGCCUGUCUGCCUUGCUCUGGGCCUUUGAGGUAGUGGGAGUCUGUGGGCCUGUCCUGGCCUCUUCCGGUUUUACUCUCAGUUUUGUUUCCAUUCACAUUUUCCGGUAUCAGCGGAGUCCACAAAUGCAUUGAAAAUGGCUCUUAGGGCUGUUAAUUCUUCCGCGGGAAUUCCAUGGAAGGCUUCCAGAGGCCUGUAAGUGCUUGAAACUGUGUGUGUGUAUAUGUGUGUAUGUAUAUUAUAUAUAUAUAUAUAAUAUUUUUUUCCCUGUGGAUGGAAAGCAUAAGCUUGCUGAAGGGGUCCAAGACCUCGAUAUCACCAAUAAACAAUUGUGUUACUGUAUCCGUUGCGCUUACACUGUGGGAUGUUGAACUGAUUUCUUAAGGUGUAAAGUGUUUUGACUGUUUUCACUUGUGCUGCUGUGAUUGUGCAUCUCUCUAAAUUUUGUGAAAAUAUCUAAAUAUGUAUUGGUACAAAUACAUACAUCCUGCCUGUUCCCUAAGGGGGCCUUGCCUGGUCACUGAGCAUGUGUGGUCUUAGAACUCUUGCCACAGCCUCGCAGCUGCUCUAGAAACCUUGCACUUGCUCUUGUGAGAAUAUCUGUUUCCCUUCAUAACUGCCUAUGUGAGGUUUUUCUGUUUUAUUUAUUGUAUGGUAAAAUACACACAACACAAAUGUCACCAUCUUAACCAUUUUAACGUGUACAAUUCAGUAGCGUUAAGUUUAUUCACGUUGUUGUGAAUAUAACCAAUCCCCGAAACUUUCUCAGCUUGCAAAAUUGAAACCUCUGUGCCCCUGAAACUCCUCAUUCCCUUCUCCCCCAGCCCUGGCGGCCACCAUUCUACUUCUCUGUUUCUAUGGGUUCGACAACUUUAGGCACCUCUUAUUAAGUGGAACCAUAUAGUGUUUGUCUUGUCGGCACUGGCUUAUUUUACUCCGUGAUCUCCUCUAGGUUCGUGUGUGUUAUUCCACAUAUCAAGAUGCUUCCCUUUGUAGAAGAGCGUCCCGUGGUACGCGCGCCACGUCUUAUCGAUCCAUUCAGCCAUCCGUGAGCACCUGGCUUGUUCCACUUCUGUUACUGUGAAUAAUGCGCUUAUGAACAUGGGUGUACAAAUACCUUUUGGAGACACUGCUUUCAGUUCUUUGGGGGUAUAUAGGUGGUAUUGCUGCAUUUUGGAGGGAACUGCCAUACUGUUUUCCAUAACAGCUACACCAUUUUACCCUCCUCCCAACAGUUGACAAGGGUUCCCAUUUUCCGCUUCUUCACCAGUGCUUGUUUCUUUAUAGCAGCCUGAUGGGUAUGAAGGAUUUCAUGGUGGUUUUGCUUUGAACUUCCCUCAUAAUUAGUGGUGUUGAACAUCUUUCCAAAUGCUAGUUGGUCAUUUGUGUAUCAGCUUUGAAGAAAUGCCUCUUCAGGUCUUUUGCCCAUUACAAAAAAAACAAAACAG